CGUAGGGGAACCUGCGGAGGGAUCAUUACUGAGUUUACGCUCUAUAACCCUUUGUGAACAUACCUAUAACUGUUGCUUCGGCGGGUAGGGUCUCCGUGACCCUCCCGGCCUCCCGCCCCCGGGCGGGUCGGCGCCCGCCGGAGGAUAACCAAACUCUGAUUUAACGACGUUUCUUCUGAGUGGUACAAGCAAAUAAUCAAAACUUUUAACAACGGAUCUCUUGGUUCUGGCAUCGAUGAAGAACGCAGCGAAAUGCGAUAAGUAAUGUGAAUUGCAGAAUUCAGUGAAUCAUCGAAUCUUUGAACGCACAUUGCGCCCGCCAGCAUUCUGGCGGGCAUGCCUGUUCGAGCGUCAUUUCAACCCUCAAGCUCUGCUUGGUGUUGGGGCCCUACAGCUGAUGUAGGCCCUCAAAGGUAGUGGCGGACCCUCCCGGAGCCUCCUUUGCGUAGUAACUUUACGUCUCGCACUGGGAUCCGGAGGGACUCUUGCCGUAAAACCCCCAAUUUUCCAAAGGUUGACCUCGGAUCAGGUAGGAAUACCCGCUGAACUUAAGCAUAUCAAUAAGCGGAGGAA
rnacentral:rRNA from 1 species